rnacentral:rRNA from 1 species
GAUGAACGCUGGCGGCGUGCUUAACACAUGCAAGUCGAACGGAAAGGCCCAAGCUUGCUUGGGUCCUCGAGUGGCGAACGGGUGAGUAACACGUGGGUGAUCUGCCCUGCACUUCGGGAUAAGCCUGGGAAACUGGGUCUAAUACCGGAUAGGACCACUUCUUGGAUGUUGGGGUGGAAAGGUUUUUCGGUGUGGGGUGAGCCCGCGGCCUAUCAGAUUGUUGGUGGGGUAAUGGCCUACCAAGGCGUCGACGGGUAGCCGGCCUGAGAGGGUGUACGGCCAAAAUUGGACUUGAAAUCGGGCCAGACUCCCACGGGAAGGAGGCGUUGGGGAAUAUUGAAAAUUGGCGGGAACCCGGUGGAGCGAACGCGGGUGGCGGGAGGCCGGCUUCCGGUUGUGAAAUCGUUUCGGUCGGGACGAAAGGUUUUGUGACGGUACCUGGUAAAGAAGCACCGGCUAACUACGUG